UACGGAGGAUGCGAGCGUUAUCCGGAUUUAUUGGGUUUAAAGGGUGCGUAGGCGGUCCGUUAAGUCAGCGGUAAAAUUGCGGGGCUCAACCCCGUCGAGCCGUUGAAACUGUCAGACUUGAGUUGGCGAGAAGUACGCGGAAUGCGCGGUGUAGCGGUGAAAUGCAUAGAUAUCGCGCAGAACUCCGAUCGCGAAGGCAGCGUACCGGCGCCACACUGACGCUGAGGCACGAAAGCGUGGGGAUCGAACAGG
rnacentral:rRNA from 1 species